GGGGAUGUAGCUCAGUGGUAGAACACUUUACUUAGCAUGCAGAAGGCCCUGGGUUCAAUCCCCAGUACCCCCC
rnacentral:tRNA from 1 species